AUUGAACGCUGGCGGCAGGCCUAACACAUGCAAGUCGAGCGGAUGAAGGGAGCUUGCUCCUGGAUUCAGCGGCGGACGGGUGAGUAAUGCCUAGGAAUCUGCCUGGUAGUGGGGGAUAACGUCCGGAAACGGGCGCUAAUACCGCAUACGUCCUGAGGGAGAAAGUGGGGGAUCUUCGGACCUCACGCUAUCAGAUGAGCCUAGGUCGGAUUAGCUAGUUGGUGGGGUAAAGGCCUACCAAGGCGACGAUCCGUAACUGGUCUGAGAGGAUGAUCAGUCACACUGGAACUGAGACACGGUCCAGACGCCGACGGGAGGCAGCAGUGGGGAAUAUUGGACAAUGGGCGAAAGCCUGAUCCAGCCAUGCCGCGUGUGUGAAGAAGGUCUUCGGAUGGUAAAGCACUUUAAGUUGGGAGGAAGGGCAGUAAGUUAAUACCUUGCUGUUUUGACGUUACCAACAGAAUAAGCACCGGCUAACUUCGG
rnacentral:rRNA from 1 species